rnacentral:rRNA from 1 species
CGUACAGAGGGCUGCAAUACCGUGAGGUGGAGCGAAUCCCUUAAAGCGCGUCUCAGUUCGGAUUGGGGUCUGCAACUCGACCCCAUGAAGUCGGAGUCGCUAGUAAUCGCAGAUCAGCAACGCUGCGGUGAAUACGUUCCCGGGCCUUGUACACACCGCCCGUCACGUCAUGAAAGUCGGUAACACCCGAAGCCGGUGGCCUAACCCCUUGUGGGAGGGAGCUGUCGAAGGUGGGAUUGGCGAUUGGGACGAAGUCGUAACAAGGUAGCCGUACCGGAAGGUGCGGCUGGAUCACCUCCUUUCUAAGGAG